AGUAAGGUGGCCUAGUGGUUAGGGCAUCUAGCUAGUGACAUACAGGUCCCUGGUUCUAAUCCCCCAUGUCAUUUUG